rnacentral:rRNA from 1 species
AAAGGAAUAGACGGGGGCCCGCACAAGCAGCGGAGCGUGUGGUUUAAUUCGAUGCUACACGAAGAACCUUACCUGGGCUUGACAUGCGCGUAGUAGUGAACCGAAAGGGGAACGAGCCUUCGGGCAGCGCGCACAGGUGCUGCAUGGCUGUCGUCAGCUCGUGCCGUGAGGUGUUGGGUUAAGUCCCGCAACGAGCGCAACCCUCGUCGCUAGUUACAUGUGUCUAGCGAGACUGCCAGGUUAACCCUGGAGGAAGGUGGGGAUGACGUCAAGUCAGCAUGGCCUUUAUGUCCAGGGCUACACACACGCUACAAUGGUCGGUACAACGGGAUGCCAAGCCGCGAGGCGGAGCGAAUCCUCAAAGCCGGCCUCAGUUCGGAUUGGAGGCUGCAACCCGCCUCCAUGAAGUCGGAGUUGCUAGUAACCGCAGGUCAGCUAUACUGCGGUGAAUACGUUCCCGGGCCUUGUACACACCGCCCGU